CCUACGGGGCGCUGCAGUGGGGAAUAUUGGACAAUGGGCGAAAGCCUGAUCCAGCCAUGCCGCGUGUGUGAAGAAGGCCUUCGGGUUGUAAAGCACUUUCAGUGGGGAAGAAAGCCUUGGGGCUAAUACCCUCGAGGAAGGACAUCACCCACAGAAGAAGCACCGGCUAACUCCGUGCCAGCAGCCGCGGUAAUACGGAGGGUGCGAGCGUUAAUCGGAAUUACUGGGCGUAAAGCGCGCGUAGGCGGUCUGAUAAGCCGGUUGUGAAAGCCCCGGGCUCAACCUGGGAACGGCAUCCGGAACUGUCAGGCUAGAGUGCAGGAGAGGAAGGUAGAAUUCCCGGUGUAGCGGUGAAAUGCGUAGAGAUCGGGAGGAAUACCAGUGGCGAAGGCGGCCUUCUGGACUGACACUGACGCUGAGGUGCGAAAGCGUGGGUAGCAAACAGGAUUAGAUACCCAUAGUC
rnacentral:rRNA from 1 species